rnacentral:rRNA from 1 species
AUUGAACGCUGGCGGCAGGCCUAACACAUGCAAGUCGAGCGAGUGGCGGACGGGUGAGUAAUGUAUGGGGAACUGCCCGAUAGAGGGGGAUAACUACUGGAAACGGUGGCUAAUACCGCAUACUAUCGGAUGUGCCCAUAUGGGAUUAGCUAGUAGGUGGGGUAACGGCUCACCUAGGCGACGAUCCCUAGCUGGUCUGAGAGGAUGACCAGCCACACUGGAACUGAGACACGGCCCAGACUCCUACGGGAGGCAGCAGUGGGGAAUAUUGCACAAUGGGCGCAAGCCUGAUGCAGCCAUGCCGCGUGUAUGAAGAAGGCCUUCGGGUUGUAAAGUACUUUCAGCGGGGAGGCGUUACCCGCAGAAGAAGCACCGGCUAACUCCGUGCCAGCAGCCGCGGUAAUAC